UACGUAGGGGGCAAGCGUUGUCCGGAAUUAUUGGGCGUAAAGCGCGCGCAGGCGGUGGCUUAAGUCUGGUGUCUAAUCCCAAGGCUCAACUUUGGGACGCAUUGGAAACUGGGCGACUGGAGUGUAGGAGAGGAAAGUGGAAUUCCACGUGUAGCGGUGAAAUGCGUAGAGAUGUGGAGGAACACCAGCGGCGAAGGCGACUUUCUGGCCUAUAACUGACGCUGAGGCGCGAAAGCGUGGGGAGCAAACAGG
rnacentral:rRNA from 1 species